GCGGGCGUGGCGGAAUUGGCAGACGCGUAUGGCUUAGGACCAUAUACCUAUACAGUGUGGGGGUUCGAGUCCCUUCGCCCGCA
rnacentral:tRNA from 1 species